GAGCCAGAAUUCCCCACGGUGUUUGUUUUUUCCAGACCGAAGAUCUACUAUCAGCCUAGCGCAGUACAGCUCCGUCAUUAAUUUGUGUCUUCUGCUAAUGGUUACCAUGUGCUCCAGGAUCUUUAAUUGCUUGCUGAUUCUAAGCAUAGUUUUCGCUCUGCUUUCCCUUGUUAUGGCAAGACAUCAACCAAUACUCUUGGAUUGCACCCAUAAAUGCGCCACGAGACUCGACAAUACAAGGUGUCACGUUAAUUGGAUAUGUAUGUUCACAAAUACCAAUUAAUCGUCCACAGAGAACCAACCUGCGAUGCCUGUAUGGUGAGAUAAAUAAAGAUUAACCAGACUGUCCCUAGUGAUGGUUUUCAUCCUCACUCCAA